AAGAGGCAGCCUCAGCGAAUGUUCAGGGUAGGAGCUGCAGGCAAGGCUCCGGGCACCCAGUGAGGCCUCUUUGUUACUGAAAAGUCCUAUGAGCCAUAUUCUCGUGCCAGGAUAAACACUAGAAGCCCUUGGGGAUGACCUUUAGCCUGGAUGGAACGGGUUCAAGUUAGAGAAAGGAUCAAGUGCAGAAGUCGCCGGGCAAAGGACUGUUUGGCCGUGACAGAGUGGAGAGGCUGGUGUGGCUGCAGCAGCUGUCCAGGAGCAGAGUGGGAGGAGGUGGCCAAAGCACGUCGGCAGAUUGUUCCUAAGCCUGUGAUUAAAGGGAGGAUAUGGAUUUGUCUCGGUUCUGUCUUUUCAAAAGGAGGAUUUAUUGAAGGGUUUAAUCAAGGGUGGGGCAUUAGUAGGUUUCUACCCAGAGAAAUUGAUCUGGAUACUCUGUGGUCCAGUAAGGAUGGCUCAAGGUGAAACGUCUACAUUUGAGUGACAGCUCGAGUAGCUAGAGAACCUGACAGUGACAGCGUUGGGGACAGUCAGAUCCUGCAUGUAUUCAAGAGAUGACGUCGGGAGGAUGCUGAUGGGUCAGCUCUGGGUUGCAAAAGGAGGAGGCCAUCAAAUCCACCUGGAAUGUACGUCCAGCACCUCCUGCAUGCUCUGUCAUGGUGGAGAAUAAAUGUACACAUUGACUGAGGCGUGUCCAGCACCUCCGGUAUGCUUUGUCAUGGUGGAGAGUAAAUGUACGCAUUGACUGAGGCAUGUCCAGCACCUCCUGCAUGCUCUGUCAUGGUGGAGAGUAAAUGUACGCAUUGACUGAGGCAUGUCCAGCACCUCCCGCAUGCUCUGUCAUGGUGGAGAGUAAAUGUACGCAUUGACUGAGGCAUGUCCAGCACCUCCUGCAUGCUCUGUCAUGGUGGAGAAUAAAUGUACGCAUUGACUGAGGCAUGUCCAGCACCUCCUGCAUGCUCUGUCAUGGUGGAGAGUAAAUGUACGCAUUGACUGAGGCAUGUCCAGCACCUCCCGCAUGCUCUGUCAUGGUGGAGAGUAAAUGUACGCAUUGACUGAGGCAUGUCCAGCACCUCCUGCAUGCUCUGUCAUGGUGGAGAAUAAAUGUACGCAUUGACUGAGGCGUUAUGUCCCAUCCUUCUCUGACAGUCAUUUUUCAUUUUCCCACGUUGCAGAUGGUUUUAUUAUUUUAUUGAAUGUGUAUGGGUGUUUAGCCUGCAUGUGUAUAUGUGUACCCCAUGCCUAGUGCCCAUGGAGUUCAGAAAAGGGUUUCAGAUCCCCUGGGACUGGAGUUACAGAUGGUUGUGAGCCACCAUGUGGGUGCUGGGAAUCAAACCCAGGUCCUCUGCAAGAGCGGCCAGUGCUCUUCACUGCGGAGCCAGCUCUCAGGCUUGCUGGGUUUUGUUUUGUUUUGUUUGUUUUUUCUGUCUAAAUUUUGUCAAAAUUGGUCUUCAUUUUAAUGUAAUAUAAAAUGCAUUCAUUUUAAAAUUGUACAGCUCUGACCACAGAGUGAAAAGUAAGGUAAGUUGCUCGUUCCCAGGAAAGUCUGGAUGCUGUGGGUCCCCUGUGUCCUGUUGAAGUGUCCAGCUCCUAGCACACGGAGACAUGCCAGGUUAGCAAGAGUCCUUCCUCCUGAGCCCCCCACCUCUCUUACUGAUGUUCUGUUUUCUGCUCUCCCAGUCCAGGGCCGCUUUUCCUGUCAGCUCCCCACCUGUGAGAAGCCCUGCGGGGACAACAGGCCAUAAAAGUCAUGAAAACUUUUAAUCCCAGCACUCAGGAGGCAGAGCCAGGAGGAUCUCUGUGAGUUCGAGGCCAGCCUGGUCUACAGAGCAAGAUCCAGGACAGGCAGAGCUACACAGUGAAACCUUAUCUCAAAAAACCAAAAGAGAAAAGGAAGGAAGGAAGGAAGGAAGGAAGGAAGGAAGGAAGGAAGGAAGGAAGGGAGGAAUUUAAAUGUCUGAGCACUUGGUAAGAUACUGACAGGGACUUGAGAACUUCUGGCAGAAAAGCCCGAUUUUGCCUGUAGGUGUCCUCUCUUCACUGAAUUACCGUGACCUUCUGUCAGAGCCGGGGUUCUGGCUGGGAACCUCUGUGUCCAUUACAGAUGACCUGCGCCUCCCGUGUAUGUCUAACCUCUGCUCCGAGCCCUGCUGUUCUUACUCUCCAAGAGCAGCAUACUCUCUAAAAAAGGUCAGAGGAAAAACCCUUCCGGUGCUGAGUCCUGCGGCCUCUGACACAGCUGUUUAGCCCUAAGGUGGAGUGUGAGGUGCAUCAGCCGCAGACAGGGCCCUGGCGUGGCUGACUCCUGGAAAAGCUGCACAACCCGCAGCUCGUGGGGCGAAGGCUGCUCCACCUUCCUGAACCUCGAGUGGGGCAGAUCGGCAUUGUGCUCAGCUCUCACAGAAAGCUGGGCUCAGAAAAGUCUUCUCUGUGGGCCGCGUUCAGGAGCCGUUCGCUAUACACCCAUUGCUGUAAAUAAUCUAAAAGGUAGGAUUCCACUUCCUUGAUGACGCCCCUCUUCUGUCUGUUUAAAAAGAAAAACAAAAAUGAAUAAAAAAAUCUGAACAGUGGUCAAACCGAGGGCUGAGGCUAUGGCUCAGACAGUCAAGAGCCUGCCUUCCAUGCCCAGGGCUCUGGGUUCAGUCCUCAGUAGCUAGAAAGUAAAAAAGACAUCAAACCUAGAGCACUGUGGACGCUAGCAAGGCGCCGCACCCACUGACUGGAUCUCACCCUCCCACAAGUGGAGGUGCUCUUCCCAGGCCCUGAGUCUGGGGGUGUGCUGUAGUGACCUCCAGGGAAGGCGUGUGUUGUUGAUGGCUGCGGAACUAGCCACAUGGGACGAUACAGAUAAAGACCGCCUAUCAGGCAAAGCAUACUCAAGUGCUCCCGGCCACACAGCUUUGCUCCUUGCCUGCAGUAUGCCGUUCUAGUCUCCAGUUUUAUCUGGCUCACGUUUAUUAAAGGUCUCCUGUGCAUAAAGCAUUGUCUCCCGAGCAUGUUAUUCUAGGGAAAAAGAAAUACUCUGGUGGAAAUAAUUAAAUUCUGCUGCCAUAGAGUGCCCAUUCCCUGCCAUGUAGAAGCUGUUGAAUAAAUAUCUGUGGCUGAAUUAAUAUCAUCCAUUAAAGUGAAUUCAGACUCUUGCUUGCUCGUUACUCGCAUGGAGUUAAACAUGAAUCAGUGGAUAGAAAAAAGAAAAGGAAAAAAGCCAAAACUGGUGUUCAACCCAAGUCCAAAGCACCUGUGAUGUCCACUGAGGUUAUCAAGAUUACUGAAAUACACUGUCCUUCGCGUGUCUUCAUCUAUUUAGGAAAAAAGGACUGAGAGCUGUUUGAGGCCAGAACCAGGCAGAUGUUUGUGCAGAACCCAUUUGUCUUUAUGAGCCUCACUAAGUGUCCAGCGACCCUGUAACAGGACCUCUCCCAUGCAGAACUUGUUUUCCUUUAUGAGUCCUACUAAGUGUUCAGUGACCCUGUAACAGGACCUCUCCCAUGGGAGACUUAAAUGGUACUUCUUUAUGUUCAAAGUUUUUUUUUUUUUAAUCUAAGAGAAAUUAAAGGAUUUUUUUUUUUUGCAGGAAGACCUUUUUUCCUGUCUUUACAUCAGAAACGAGGCCUUGGCUGGAGAGACCUGUGGCCAGAGAGAGAUCUUACUUCUUUCAUAACAUACAAGGCAGGUGUGGUACGUGUGCCUGUUAACCCAGCACUUGGAAAGCUGAGGCAAGAGGAGUGUUGGAUCAAUCCUGGCUCCAUGGCAGGACCCUAAUAAUUAACUGAACUAACCUGCAGAUGACACGUGCAGUCCUUUCCGACCCACACAGUACAACUCCCAGUGCUGGUGUGCUGAGGAGCCGGUGAGGAGCCAGCCUGGAUGACGGGAUUGCUGGGUGGUGAGGAGCCGGUGAGGAGCCAGCCUGGAUGACGGGAUUGCUGGGUGGUGAGGAGCCGGUGAGGAGCCAGCCUGGAUGACGGGAUUGCUGGGUGCUGAGGAGCCGGUGAGGAGCCAGCCUGGAUGACGGGAUUGCUGGGCUGCUCUAGGGCAGUGGUGGAAGAUGGAGGGGAAAGGACUGGUAAUUGGUUGGUUAGCCGUGACAAAUCCCAGACUUGGGAGCUUAAACAGCAGACACAUGGCUCUCACAGCUGUGGAGGCUGAUGCCCAAGGCCAGGAUGUUGUCAAGAUCGGGUUCCAGCCGGGCAGUGGUGCACGCCUUUAAUCCCAGCACUCGGGAGGCAGAGGCAGGCGGAUUUCUGUGAGUUCGAAGCCAGCCUGGUCUACAGAGCGAGAUCCAGGACACAGAGAAAGCCAGUCUGGAAAAACAAAGAAUAAAAGACUGGGUUCUGAUGAAGGCUGUCUUGGUUUAUGUGUCUGUGUCUACUGUUCUGUUCCUUUUGCUUGGCUGCCUGGUGGUUUGGUUUUGUUUGGGGGCUU